GUACACAAAAAUGCACAUAUUGUGAGCUCGAUGAGUAGGGCGGGACACGUGGUAUCCUGUCUGAAUAUGGGGGGACCAUCCUCCAAGGCUAAAUACUCCUGACUGACCGAUAGUGAACCAGUACCGUGAGGGAAAGGCGAAAAGAACCCCGGCGAGGGGAGUGAAAAAGAACCUGAAACCGUGUACGUACAAGCAGUGGGAGCCUCUUUAUGGGGUGACUGCGUACCUUUUGUAUAAUGGGUCAGCGACUUAUAUUCUGUAGCAAGGUUAACCGAAUAGGGGAGCCGAAGGGAAACCGAGUCUUAACUGGGCGUUAAGUUGCAGGGUAUAGACCCGAAACCCGGUGAUCUAGCCAUGGGCAGGUUGAAGGUUGGGUAACACUAACUGGAGGACCGAACCGACUAAUGUUGAAAAAUUAGCGGAUGACUUGUGGCUGGGGGUGAAAGGCCAAUCAAACCGGGAGAUAGCUGGUUCUCCCCGAAAGCUAUUUAGGUAGCGCCUCGUGAAUUCAUCUCCGGGGGUAGAGCACUGUUUCGGCAAGGGGGUCAUCCCGACUUACCAACCCGAUGCAAACUGCGAAUACCGGAGAAUGUUAUCACGGGAGACACACGGCGGGUGCUAACGUCCGUCGUGAAGAGGGAAACAACCCAGACCGCCAGCUAAGGUCCCAAAGUCAUGGUUAAGUGGGAAACGAUGUGGGAAGGCCCAGACAGCCAGGAUGUUGGCUUAGAAGCAGCCAUCAUUUAAAGAAAGCGUAAUAGCUCACUGGUCGAGUCGGCCUGCGCGGAAGAUGUAACGGGGCUAAACCAUGCACCGAAGCUGCGGCAGCGACACUAUGUGUUGUUGGGUAGGGGAGCGUUCUGUAAGCCUGUGAAGGUGGCCUGUGAGGGUUGCUGGAGGUAUCAGAAGUGCGAAUGCUGACAUAAGUAACGAUAAAGCGGGUGAAAAGCCCGCUCGCCGGAAGACCAAGGGUUCCUGUCCAACGUUAAUCGGGGCAGGGUGAGUCGACCCCUAAGGCGAGGCCGAAAGGCGUAGUCGAUGGGAAACAGGUUAAUAUUCCUGUACUUGGUGUUACUGCGAAGGGGGGACGGAGAAGGCUAUGUUGGCCGGGCGACGGUUGUCCCGGUUUAAGCGUGUAGGCUGGUUUUCCAGGCAAAUCCGGAAAACCAAGGCUGAGGCGUGAUGACGAGGCACUACGGUGCUGAAGCGACAAAUGCCCUGCUUCCAGGAAAAGCCUCUAAGCAUCAGGUAACAUCAAAUCGUACCCCAAACCGACACAGGUGGUCAGGUAGAGAAUACCAAGGCGCUUGAGAGAACUCGGGUGAAGGAACUAGGCAAAAUGGUGCCGUAACUUCGGGAGAAGGCACGCUGAUAUGUAGGUGAAGCGACUUGCUCGUGGAGCUGAAAUCAGUCGAAGAUACCAGCUGGCUGCAACUGUUUAUUAAAAACA
rnacentral:rRNA from 1 species